GAUAAACGCUGGCGGCGUGCAUUAGACAUGCAAGUCGAACGGACUUUCAGGGCUUGCUCUGAAAGUUAGUGGCGGACGGCUGAGUAACGCGUGGGUGACCUACCCCGAAGUGGGGAAUAACUGCCCGAAAGGGUGGCUAAUACCGCAUACGAUCGUUAAUUCAUUUUGAUGAUCAAAGCAGUAAUGCGCUUUGGGAGGGGCCUGCGUCCGAUUAGCUCGUUGGUGGGGUAAUGGCUCACCAAGGCGACGAUCGGUAGGUGGUCUGAGAGGACGAUCACCCAGACUGGGACUGAGACACGGCCCAGACUCCUACGGGAGGCAGCAGUCGGGAAUUUUGCUCAAUGGGCGCAAGCCUGAAGCAGCAACGCCGCGUGCGGGAUGAAGGCCUUCGGGUUGUAAACCGCUUUUCUUAGGGACGAUUAUGACGGUACCUAAGGAAUAAGCCACGGCUAACUACGUGCCAGCAGCCGCAGUAAUAC
rnacentral:rRNA from 1 species